rnacentral:rRNA from 1 species
CGAGGAUCAAUUGGAGGGCAAGUCUGGUGCCAGCAGCCGCGGUAAUUCCAGCUCCAAUAGCGUAUAUUAAAGUUGUUGCGGUUAAAAAGCUCGUAGUCGAAUUUGUGUCCCGCGCCGCCGGUUCAUCGCACGCGGUGUUAACUGGCGUGCCGCGGGACGUCCUGCCGGUGGACUUAGCCUUCACGGGCGGUCCAACUCAAUCCCAUCACGGUGCUCUUUACUGAGUGUCGAGGUGGGCCGGCACGUUUACUUUGAACAAAUUAGAGUGCUCAAAGCAGGCUAAAACUUCGCCUGAAUACGUGUGCAUGGAAUAAUGGAAUAGGAUCUCGGUUCUAUUUUGUUGGUUUUCGGAACCCCGAGGUAAUGAUUAAUAGGAACGGAUGGGGGCAUUCGUAUUGCGACGUUAGAGGUGAAAUUCUUGGAUCGUCGCAAGACGAACAGAAGCGAAAGCAUUUGCCAAAAACGCUUUCAUUGAUCAAGAACGAAAGUUAGAGGUUCGAAGGCGAUCAGAUACCGCCCUAGUUCUAACCAUAAACGAUGCCAGCUAGCGAUCCGCCGACGUUCCUCCGAUGACUCGGCGGGCAGCUUCCGGGAAACCAAAGCUUUUGGGUUCCGGGGGAAGUAUGGUUGCAAAGCUGAAACUUAAAGGAAUUGACGGAAGGGCACCACCAGGAGUGGAGCCUGCGGCUUAAUUUGACUCAACACGGGAAACCUCACCAGGCCCGGACACCGGAAGGAUUGACAGAUUGAGAGCUCUUUCUUGAUUCGGUGGGUGGUGGUGCAUGGCCGUUCUUAGUUGGUGGAGCGAUUUGUCUGGUUAAUUCCGAUAACGAACGAGACUCUAGCCUGCUAACUAGGCGUAUUUCGACAUCCCAAAGGCCCGCCGGUUCGGGUUUCGGCUCGUUCCGUGCGCGGUUUUUACUGUCGGCGUACAAACAAUUCUUCUUAGAGGGACAGGCGGCUUCUAGCCGCACGAGAUUGAGCAAUAACAGGUCUGUGAUGCCCUUAGAUGUUCUGGGCCGCACGCGCGCUACACUGAAGGAAUCAGCGUGUCCUCCCUGGCCGAGUGGUCCGGGUAACCCGCUGAACCUCCUUCGUGCUAGGGAUUGGGGCUUGCAAUUAUUCCCCAUGAACGAGGAAUUCCCAGUAAGCGCGAGUCAUAAGCUCGCGUUGAUUACGUCCCUGCCCUUUGUACACACCGCCCGUCGCUACUACCGAUUGAAUGAUUUAGUGAGGUCUUCGGACUGGUACGCGGUGGCGUUUCGGCGUCGCCGAUGUUGCCGGAAAGAUGACCAAACUUGAUCAUUU